GGGCGGUGUGUACAAAGGGCAGGGACGUAAUCAACGCAAGCUGAUGACUUGCGCUUACUAGGAAUUCCUCGUUGAAGAGCAAUAAUUACAAUGCUCUAUCCCCAGCACGACGGAGUUUCACAAGAUUACCAGGACCUCUCGGCCAAGGUUAGACUCGCUGGCUCCGUCAGUGUAGCGCGCGUGCGGCCCAGAACGUCUAAGGGCAUCACAGACCUGUUAUUGCCUCAAACUUCCAUCGGCUUGAAACCGAUAGUCCCUCUAAGAAGCGGACAACCAGCAAAUGCUAGCACCACUAUUUAGUAGGUUAAGGUCUCGUUCGUUAUCGCAAUUAAGCAGACAAAUCACUCCACCAACUAAGAACGGCCAUGCACCACCACCCACAAAAUCAAGAAAGAGCUCUCAAUCUGUCAAUCCUUAUUGUGUCUGGACCUGGUGAGUUUCCCCGUGUUGAGUCAAAUUAAGCCGCAGGCUCCACUCCUGGUGGUGCCCUUCCGUCAAUUCCUUUAAGUUUCAGCCUUGCGACCAUACCCCCCCCAGAACCCAAAGACUUUGAUUUCUCGUAAGGUGCCGAGUGGGUCAUUAAAAAAACACCACCCGAUCCCUAGUCGGCAUAGUUUAUGGUUAAGACUACGACGGUAUCUGAUCAUCUUCGAUCCCCUAACUUUCGUUCUUGAUUAAUGAAAACGUCCUUGGCAAAUGCUUUCGCAGUAGUUAGUCUUCAAUAAAUCCAAGAAUUUCACCUCUGACAAUUGAAUACUGAUGCCCCCGACCGUCCCUAUUAAUCAUUACGAUGGUCCUAGAAACCAACAAAAUAGAACCAAACGUCCUAUUCUAUUAUUCCAUGCUAAUAUAUUCGAGCAAUACGCCUGCUUUGAACACUCUAAUUUUUUCAAAGUAAAAAUCCUGGUUCGCCAAGAGCCACAAGGACCCAAGGUUAGCCAGAAGGAAAGGUCCGCUUGGGAUUCCAGUACNCGAA
rnacentral:rRNA from 1 species